CUUCUUCAAGGAAAGAAAAACACUUCCUGGGAUGCUCAGUGUCACCCGUGUUAGGGCCCUGCUGUGGUGGGUCCCCAUGCUUCUCUGAACUUCCAGGGACCGCAGCUCACGGAGUCACUGGCAGGCCGCCAGCUGCAGAGGGGAUCUUAUCUGAGGGACUCAGUAGGGACACCCAUGAGCAGCCUGGCCUUUGGGCCACCUCUUGUAGGUCAUCACUUCUCUGGUCUUCUCAUGGUUUGUCUUCUAGGGUGAAAAGCCCUUUCCAAGAUCCUGUCCUGCUCCAUGCCCGUACACCUGCCCACAGGCAAAGCUUGCCAGGACCAAGGCAGCCCAGUGAGGACGCUGGGUGACUGACCAGCUCAUCCUCUCACGGGAGCCCAGACAUGAUGCCCCUCUGUAAUCAGAUCUCUCAGCUAACAGAUUCAUUUUUAGAGAUUUCUCUACAUGGUGGAAAGGAUGGCCUCCAUGGUUCCAGCAUUUCUAGAGCUCACUGUCUCCACAACAGAGAAAACUUCCUGUCUCACCUUCUAGGCCAGCACACUGGCCCAAGAAUAUUGGUCCUGUUUGGGUCACUUGCCCAUCCUUCAACCAACUGCUGUGUCCAAAGAGGUGGAGUACUGCAAUUGGUCAGCUGGAGCGCAUGUGCCUUCCUUGACAAACCCAUCAGAGUAAUGUUAUGUGAGGAAAAGGCAUCCUCCAACGGAAGAACGAUGACGCCCCCCAAAAACUGUCCAUCAUAAUGGCAAACUUAUUUUUUUUAACAUAAUGUAGAUCUAUUUUAUGAGCACAGAGGCUUUGGGAGAUGGGGAGAGAUUGAGGUCCCAUCACAGCUCUGCCUGGAAUUCUUGUGCCUGGAACCCCCACCUGACACUCCUAUCCCUUCUACUUCUCUAGACUAAUGACUACAUGGGGCGGGCACAAUAAUGCCUCCCUUCUCUAAAGAUGUUCACGCACAAAUCCCUGGAGCCUGUGAAUGUGUUGCCUUACUUGGCAAAUGGGACUUUGCAGAUGGAAUUAAGUUAAGAAUCUUGAGCUAGGAGAUGACCCAUGGAAAGAUGCUCCAUUUACACUGUGAAGUAAGAAAAGCAAGUUACUGAACACAAUGUAGAAAAUAAUUUUAUCUUUAUCUUUAAAUCUGUUUAACUAUUUAUGUACAUAUAUGCAUGGAAAAAAGUUUAGGAAAUGUACUCCAAGAUGAUAACAGAGUUAUUUCUGAGGGGUUGUGAUAGUAGAUUUUUUUCCCUUUUGCUUGUAUGCAGUUUCUAACUCUUCUACCAUGAGCAUUGAUGACUUACAUAAUUCACAUCUAUAAGCCCAAGAGGUGAAGAAGAGGAAGCAGCCAUUAAGGAGAAAGGUGGGAUGGUAUUGUGAAUGGGAAGCAUGUUGGAAAAAAAAAGUUAUUUGCUUAUUCAUUUUUGUAUUUAUUUGCACCGGGAACACCUGUUUAUCAGCUGAGGCAACAGGCCUGGGGAUUCUGAAGAAGGAGAAGAUGCACAAACAAGGAAAUGAGACAGGGAGUAGCAUCUCUAGGACUAGGGGUUGAGGGAGGACCUCAUCAGGACUGAGAAUGGGCCCCUUGAGGGGGCAGGAAGGAGAGAGGAAAAGCUGGGAAGAAAUGAAGCAGCUUCUAACGGAAGGGGAAGGUAGUCAACAACCUAAGUCUUCUAAGCAAAGAAGCAUGUGGGCGAGGGGGCUAGAGUGGGCUGGGGACUUCAGAAAAGUGGAAACAGUUGGAAAUUGUGCUGUGGGGAAUGGUGGGGAUCCAUCAGGAUCAGUGGGGCUUUCUGAGCAGCACUGAGGGCCCAGCUGAGAUUAGAUAAUAGGGAUUUGUCAUCGUGCUAAUCAUAGCAGAGGCAUGACUUUUUCCAGUGACACUGAGCAGCUUGGGAACAGAAGCAAAGCCAGCAGGGAGAAACCAGCGUGCCUAGCUGCAUGCACCAAGACUUUGGAUUCUGAGCGAGGGGCUCCUCAUUGGACCUCAGUGACUCCCACUGAGCUUCCUGAUUCAGUUCUUUGAUAUGGAGCCCAUGACACUGCUCUUCCCUGUGCUGUACGUGAUGGUUGCUGGGUAUCGUUCAGGCCUUGCUGAGAUGAAUCCAGGAGCUUGCCAGUGAGAGUGUUUGAGAAGCCAAAAACAAAAAGCAAAAGCCAAAAUAAUGCAGGGAGACAAAGGAUAUAAGCAAAUGGUGCUAUUGUGCUACUGGGAGGACCCAGGAGAAAAGUGGAAGGGGCUAGGGUAGUUUUCAAAGCAGAGAUAAAGCCGAGGCUGACCUUCAAAGGAUGAGUAAGAGUUAACCAGGCCAGGUAAGUGGGGAGGGCACCCCUGGAGGGGAAGCACAUGAGCAAAGGAGGAGGCAUGAAGAUGCGUGUUGUAUAUAGAUAGCCACACACAACUGAGUGUCAUUACAGGGUGAAGUAAAGGGGAGAGCAUGGUGGGAGACAGGGCUGGAGGGGGCUGUCAGACUCACCCCGAAGGGCAGAGGAAAAGGGUCCUAUGAAGGAACUUGAGAGAACAAGAUCAGAGGAAUAAAAAGAGGAAAAAAAGAGAGUAUGGUCUCCGAAAUCAAGUUAGUCAAGAGGUAAUUAGGAAGAAAUGAUUGACAGUCCGAAGUGUCCUAAAGAUGCCCAAGGAAAACAUUUCAAAAAUCUUAUCAACAGACUUGGCAAUUAGAUCACAUAUGACCUUUGCCAAAUGAGUUUUGAUGGAGUAGUGGGCACUGAAGACCACAAGGAAUGGUGGCAGGUAGGGGUGAAAAUAAAAAGAACAAGUGGAAAUCAUCUGAGAAGUCUGGCUCAGCAGAGUAGACAAGGGAAAUAGAAGUGAGAAGGAAUUGGAAUUUUAAGAGAGGAUGUAUGCGUUUAAGGAUAGGAGAGAUUCUAGCAGAGGCUGUCAGGAAGGCGCAGGAGAGGUGGAAUGAAUAGCACGGAACCCUUGGGAUGGGAAGGGGUGAGUUUCAACAGGAGGAGGGAUGCCUCUUUCUCUGAGUUUAAAGGAGGGGUAUCAGCAUACAUACAGGUGUAGCUAUGUUGAUGAGGAGGGAGCAGAGCUGUUCUUGUCUGACUGCCUCCAUUUCCCUUAUUAAGUAGGCAGCAUGGUGAUCCCCUAAAAGUGAGGAAGUGAGGAAAACAGAGGAGUUAGAAAGAGAAGGCCCAUCUAGCAAGUCCCCAUGAGAGGGCCGUUGGAGAGCACGGGACCUGUUCAGGCUGCAGGAAGUACACGAGGUCAAGUGUGGAAAGUGCACAGAUCAGAGCCAGGCAAAUAAAGGCCCCCAGUAAAUGGGAGAAAUUAUCCCCAGGCAAGAAGAAUCCUGAGGGCCUAACAAACCUCAAAGGGACAAAGUCCCAGGUGGGGGCAGUGAUGGGUCUGAAGGCCAAUCACAUGUGGAGACUUGAAGGCAGAUGUCUAAAGGAAUGAUUUUUUUUUUUUUAGUAGUUUGAAAACAUUGCUUUCUAGCAUCUGGGUGUUCAGAUUUGGAAGGAAGAGCCCAGUUCUCUAAAACAAAGAAAAAUUGCAAAUUCAGGAGCCAUGUUGUAAUUCCAUAGGCAGAAACAACUCCAAACUCAGUCUCUCCUGUUAGGGACUGACUAACCUCAGAGACUCCAAAUCCAGAAAGAUUAAAUUGAUAAAGGGGACAUCACACUGCAGCCUGAGGUGAUGUGGUUCAACAUAGAGGGGAAAAAACCCGAUCCUGUUGCUCAGGUACGUUGAAUGGCUAGAUCUACCUCAGGAUGUUAUCUUAUUCAGUCUUCGAAUGAGUCAGCAAAGUCGACAAAAACAAGGCUUUGUGAGCGUGUCCCUAGUUAAGCUGGAUUUCUCAGGCAGGUGCAGGCAGUGUGUGCAAACACGCCAGUCCUUUUACUUGCUGGUGGCGCCACGCCCGCCACGCCCCGGGGAGCAGGUUCAGAGGAGCAGCUCUGCUGUUGCACUCACCGGGGUCGAUCCCACCAGCCCCACUCAAAGAGUCCCAUCACCCUCCAAGCCACAGUUCUGUCAUCUGUAAAAUGUGGAUGAUAUCAGCAUCUAUUUCCAAAGGUCCCUGUGAGCAUUCAAUGAGGUAAUGCAUAUACAGCACUUAGCACUUUUGCCUUGCAGAUGGAAAGUGGUCAGUAAAUGUUAGUCCUUAAUAUUAUGAGUAGCCUGGCUUUCCUAGAACUCAUUCUCGGCUUUUUAAUGUCCUUUCACCUGCUAAGUUGUUUCACUGAUCCAUGAGCCACAGUCAGAUGAGGUCCCAGAAGAUAGGGCGGCCAUGUUGUUUUUACAAUAUCACAAUUUGCUGAGCUCUGUGGAUGACAAAGAGAUGCCAUUCAGACAGAAUGCCUUCAAACAAAAGCAGCUAAGUGGGUCUCAUUAGUAGCAUUAGUGUCCUAAGGAGAGAAAAGCACAGCCUCUCCUUAGCUAGAGGUGUUCCAGACUGCUCUCUUUGAAUACUGGAGUCAGAGGAGGAAUAAGAGAGAAAUUAAAAACCUAUUAGCCCCAAACUGAGACUUUUCCCCCCUGAAGAAUCAGAAAAAUUAAAAAAGAAUUGAAAAGGGAAUAACUUUCUUAUUAUAGGUAUCAGUGUUAUUUAAUGCUGUGUCUGUAUGCCACUUCAAAUCAGCUCAAGUACUCCCAGUUGUAUGUGUCCCAUGCUGGUCUAAGGCAGUCCAUUUUACUCCUCAUUUCAAAAGCUCUUCUAAGGUGGAGAGUGAGCCGUGUCAAGAUGGGGAAGUGGCUAAGCAGGAGGGGCUCUGAGGCUGUACCCCUAAGUUAGAGCAGCUCUGCUCUUAUUCAGUUAUGUGAACUACUUCAUUAAAUUUUUUAAAAAUUUAUUUAUUUGAGAGAGAGAAAGAGAGCAUUAGCAGGGAGGAGGGGCAAGAGGGAGAGAGAGGGAGAAGUAGGCUCCCAGCUGAGCAGGGAGCCCAAGGACAUGGGACUCCAUCCCAGGACCCUGGGAUCAUGCCCUGAGCUAAAGGCAGAUGCUUAACUGACUGAGCCAUCCAGGCAUCCCAGUACUUCAUUUUUUAAAGGGUUACAUUGCUAGAAAAGAAAAAUCUUGAAAGCCACCAGCCUACUGAUUAAUAGCAUCCAUUUAUCAUACAUCUGCUAUGGGCCGGAUACUUUAUAUACUUUAAACUUCUCUCUACAAGGUAGCUUACUAAUGGAAGAGGCAGCUGAUACUCUGAAAGAUGAAGGAACCCAUCUAAAGUAAUUCAGCUAGUAAGUGUUAGAAUUGGCAUUGCAACCUAGUCUGUCUGCUCCCUUUCCACUUGUACAUCUUGCUCUGGAAUUCUUUCAAUUCAAUAAACAUUUAUUAAGAUUCUACUACUUUCUAAGCUCUUGUUAGAUUCUGGGAUUAGAAACUCACAAUCUAUUGGAAUAGAAAGGCAUGUGAAUAAAUAUUUACGCAAGUGUUUUGGAAUGCUAUGCUCCAAUGAAACAUGGAGCGAAGAGUGGUGAGUUCCAAGUGAUGGGGUGAGAGAGUGGUCAUUUAGGCUUCUUACAGGUGGUGAUGCUACAGGGCGCAGUGACAAAGAGGAAUGUUGGGAAAGAGGACAAUGGAGAGUGAGGAAGCCAGAGUUUAUCAGGCUUUGUAUGUCAUCCAUGCAAAGACAUAGAACCCUGGAGUCUGAGAAUUGCAUCAUUUAACUGACUUACACUUUUUCUCCCCCUGUUCACUCUCCUCUAAUAUUCAGUUGUUUUGAAAAUUCCAGCCUUACCUAAAGAAUCUGUGGAAGAGAUUUGUUGCCAUUUUAGGAGGAAAAUGGAAAGAUGUCUGAAGAAAGAUAGAAAGGUAUUUGGAGGAGUAGCCCCCCUCCCACCAAGGUGUAUGGACUUUAGACAGUGGGGAGCCAGUGAAGGAUUAUAAUGCUAAUUUAUCAUACUGUAGCUCUGAAGUCAAGUAGGGCCUCCUUGACCCACAAGAUCCAGCUAAACCGGCCUCCCAGCUCCAAUUUCACAGCCUGGGGAAGCCCUGUGU